rnacentral:rRNA from 1 species
AGAGUUUGAUCAUGGCUCAGGAUGAACGCUAGCGACAGGCUUAACACAUGCAAGUCGAGGGGCAGCGGGGAGGUAGCAAUACUUCCGCCGGCGACCGGCGCACGGGUGAGUAACACGUAUGGAACCUGCCCGUAGCAGGGGGAUAAACGGAAGAAAUUCCGUCUAAUACCGCGUAAUAACUCCGAGAGGCAUCUCAUGGAGUUUAAAGGGUAACACCGGCUACGGAUGGCCAUGCGGCGCAUUAGCUAGUUGGCGGGGUAACGGCCCACCAAGGCGACGAUGCGUAGGGGUUCUGAGAGGAAGGUCCCCCACACUGGUACUGAGACACGGACCAGACUCCUACGGGAGGCAGCAGUGAGGAAUAUUGGUCAAUGGGCGCGAGCCUGAACCAGCCAAGUCGCGUGAGGGAAGACGGUCCUAUGGAUUGUAAACCUCUUUUGUCGGGGAGCAAAAGACGCCACGUGUGGCGUUCCGAGAGUACCCGAAGAAAAAGCAUCGGCUAACUCCGUGCCAGCAGCCGCGGUAAUACGGAGGAUGCGAGCGUUAUCCGGAUUUAUUGGGUUUAAAGGGUGCGCAGGCGGAAGAUCAAGUCAGCGGUAAAAUUGAGAGGCUCAACCUCUUCGAGCCGUUGAAACUGGUUUUCUUGAGUGAGCGAGAAGUAUGCGGAAUGCGUGGUGUAGCGGUGAAAUGCAUAGAUAUCACGCAGAACUCCGAUUGCGAAGGCAGCAUACCGGCGCUCAACUGACGCUCAUGCACGAAAGUGUGGGUAUCGAACAGGAUUAGAUACCCUGGUAGUCCACACAGUAAACGAUGAAUACUAAUUGUUCGGGGAGAAUGAUCCCUGAGUGAUACAGCGAAAGCGUUAAGUAUUCCACCUGGGGAGUACGCCGGCAACGGUGAAACUCAAAGGAAUUGACGGGGGCCCGCACAAGCGGAGGAACAUGUGGUUUAAUUCGAUGAUACGCGAGGAACCUUACCCGGGCUCAAACGACACAGGAAUACUUUUGAAAGGAAGUAGCUCUACGGAGCCUGUGUCGAGGUGCUGCAUGGUUGUCGUCAGCUCGUGCCGUGAGGUGUCGGCUUAAGUGCCAUAACGAGCGCAACCCCCAUCGCCAGUUACCAGCAAGUCAAGUUGGGGACUCUGGCGAGACUGCCGGCGCAAGCUGUGAGGAAGGCGGGGAUGACGUCAAAUCAGCACGGCCCUUACGUCCGGGGCGACACACGUGUUACAAUGGCAGGUACAGAGAGAAGCAAUGCGGCGACGCAAAGCGGAACUUGAAAGCCUGUCUCAGUUCGGAUUGGAGUCUGCAACUCGACUCCAUGAAGCUGGAUUCGCUAGUAAUCGCGCAUCAGCCAUGGCGCGGUGAAUACGUUCCCGGGCCUUGUACACACCGCCCGUCAAGCCAUGGGAGCCGGGGGUGCCUGAAGGCCGUGACCGCGAGGAGCGGCCUAGGGUAAAACUGGUGACUGGGGCUAAGUCGUAACAAGGUAGCCGUA